AUUACAUCCUUGGCGGGAGGAACCAAAAUGAAAAUAAUCUGAAAUUUUUUUAAACAAAGGAUUGGGAGAACAAGUUAUGGAAUAUUAUGUAGUUCUACAAAAGAGUUACUUACAUUAUUUUAUGGGACAUGUGCACUGGAAGGGACAGAGACAAUGAAGGAACAAUGGCCGUGCUUUUUCUUCCUGGACCUUAAGUAUAGGGCUUUAAGCCGACUUGUGUUUUGAGACCCCGGGGCCAGCCUAGAUUGCUCUCCAGAGUCAAAAAUGACCUUGACCUCCUGAUCUAUCUCUGCCUCCAGAGCACUGGGAACAGCAGCACUG